rnacentral:rRNA from 1 species
UACGAAGGGGGCUAGCGUUGCUCGGAAUCACUGGGCGUAAAGGGCGCGUAGGCGGCCACCGCAGGUCGGUUGUGAAAGCUCUGGGCUUAACCCAGAAAGGUCAGCUGAUACUGCGGGGCUAGAGUGCAGAAGGGGCAACUGGAAUUCUCGGUGUAGCGGUGAAAUGCGUAGAUAUCGAGAGGAACACCUGCGGCGAAGGCGGGUUGCUGGGCUGACACUGACGCUGACAGCGCGAAAGCUAGGGGAGCGAACGGG